rnacentral:rRNA from 1 species
AGCUCCAAUAGCGUAUAUUAAAGUUGUUGCAGUUAAAAAGCUCGUAGUUGAACUUCAGACCUGGCCGGGCGGUCUGCCUAACGGUAUGUACUGUCUGGCCGGGCCUUACCUCUUGGUGAGCCGGCAUGUCCUUUACUGGGUGUGUCGGGGAACCAGGACUUUUACCUUGAGAAAAUUAGAGUGUUCAAAGCAGGCCUUUGCCCGAAUACAUUAGCAUGGAAUAAUAAAAUAGGACGUGCGGUUCUAUUUUGUUGGUUUCUAGAGUCGCCGUAAUGAUUAAUAGGGAUAGUUGGGGGCAUUAGUAUUCAGUUGCUAGAGGUGAAAUUCUUGGAUUUACUGAAGACUAACUUCUGCGAAAGCAUUUGCCAAGGAUGUUUUCA